rnacentral:rRNA from 1 species
CCCUUAGAUGUUCUGGGCCGCACGCGCGCUACACUGAUGCAUUCAACAAGCCUAGCCUUGACCGAGAGGUCCGGGUAAUCUUUGAAACUGCAUCGUGAUGGGGCUAGAUUAUUGCAAUUAUUAAUUUUCAACGAGGAAUGCCUAGUAAGCGUGAUUCAUCAAAUCGCGUUGAUUACGUCCCUGCCCUUUGUACACACCGCCCGUCGCUCCUACCGAUUGAAUGUGUUGGUGAGGAGCUCGGAUUGGCAGCAGUUGGUGGUUCGCCACCGGCUAUUGCUGAGAAGUCCUCCAAACCGCCCCAUUUAGAGGAAGGAGAAGUCGUAACA